GGGCCCGCACAAGCGGUGGAGCAUGUGGUUUAAUUCGAUGAUACGCGAGGAACCUUACCAGGGCUUAAAUGUAAGUUGCAUAGAUCAGAGAUGGUCUUUUCUUCGGACUACUUACAAGGUGCUGCAUGGUUGUCGUCAGCUCGUGCCGUGAGGUGUCAGGUUAAGUCCUAUAACGAGCGCAACCCCUAUCGUUAGUUGCCAGCGGGUCAUGCCGGGUACUCUAGCGAGACUGCCGGUGCAAACCGAGAGGAAGGUGGGGAUGACGUCAAAUCAUCACGGCCCUUACGUCCUGGGCUACACACGUGCUACAAUGGCCGGUACAGAGAGCAGCCACUACGCGAGUAGGCGCGAAUCUUCAAAGCCGGUCUCAGUUCGGAUCGCAGUCUGCAACUCGACUGCGUGAAGCUGGAAUCGCUAGUAAUCG
rnacentral:rRNA from 1 species